rfam:Schistosoma rodhaini strain Burundi genome assembly, scaffold: SROB_scaffold0005689
AGCUUUUUGAAUCCGUGCAGAGAUUUCGUCAGAUACCGACCCAUUAGGACUGAUCAGACUUUUAAGAUAAGUGAAGUU